AGUCGACGAUGAAGCCCUUCGGGGUGGAUUAGUGGCGAACGGGUGAGUAACACGUGGGCAAUCUGCCCUUCACUCUGGGACAAGCCCUGGAAACGGGGUCUAAUACCGGAUAACACCUGCCCGGGCAUCCGGGUGGGUUAAAAGCUCCGGCGGUGAAGGAUGAGCCCGCGGCCUAUCAGCUUGUUGGUGAGGUAGUGGCUCACCAAGGCGACGACGGGUAGCCGGCCUGAGAGGGCGACCGGCCACACUGGGACUGAGACACGGCCCAGACUCCUACGGGAGGCAGCAGUGGGGAAUAUUGCACAAUGGGCGAAAGCCUGAUGCAGCGACGCCGCGUGAGGGAUGACGGCCUUCGGGUUGUAAACCUCUUUCAGCAGGGAAGAAGCGAAAGUGACGGUACCUGCAGAAGAAGCGCCGGCUAACUACGUGCCAGCAGCCGCGGUAAUACGUAGGGCGCAAGCGUUGUCCGGAAUUAUUGGGCGUAAAGAGCUCGUAGGCGGCUUGUCACGUCGGGUGUGAAAGCCCGGGGCUUAACCCCGGGUCUGCAUUCGAUACGGGCUAGCUAGAGUGUGGUAGGGGAGAUCGGAAUUCCUGGUGUAGCGGUGAAAUGCGCAGAUAUCAGGAGGAACACCGGUGGCGAAGGCGGAUCUCUGGGCCAUUACUGACGCUGAGGAGCGAAAGCGUGGGGAGCGAACAGGAUUAGAUACCCUGGUAGUCCACGCCGUAAACGGUGGGAACUAGGUGUUGGCGACAUUCCACGUCGUCGGUGCCGCAGCU
rnacentral:rRNA from 1 species